CAAGGGAGAAAAAGAAAAAAAAAAGAAAAGAAGGUGGAGAAGAAACAAGUUUUUCUGAAGGGGAAAGAAAAGGGAAAGCAAAAGAAAGAAGAAAAGAAAAUUGUUUUUCUGGAUUCUUCUUCGAAAGAAGACAGUUUUUCCGAUUCCGAAUCCGAAUCAAUAUCUGAGAAAACACUGUCAGCCGAGAGAACAAGACAACGGAGGCUAGUUAAAAAAUAAAACAUUGUUCCGACGGAUUCGGAAACAACAAGUGAAACUGAAAGCAGUUCCACGGAUUCAGAAAGCAGAAGUGAAUCUGAAAACCAAGAAGAAGAAGAAAUUGAAAAAUAAGCAACAAAGAAAAGAAAACAACCACAAAAAGUGGUUAAAAAAGAAAGCAAAAAAAGGAAGCCUGUGCCGACGGAUUCAGAGAGCACAAGCAAAUCUGAAAGCCAAGAAAAAGAAAUAAAAAAAACUCCGACAGUAAAGAGAAAACAACCGGAGAGGGGUGCAAAAAAAAACCAAAUCAAGCAAGCUUGUUCUGACAGAUUCAGAGAGCAAAACUGAAUCUGAAAGCGA